CUUACUUCUCACCUCUUUGCUUCUUUUAUUUCACUAUCUUAGAGUAUACAUAUCACAAUAUCAUGGAUAAUGCUUCAAUUCCUCUGAAAAGUACUUGAAGAAAGAUAUCGUUGAUUUGCUUGCGAAUGGACUCGAUAUCAAUGCUUAUGGACGGGUGAUAUUAUUGAUUUAUUGCUGACACUAGGUGCCUAAGUUGAAUGACCAAAAUUGUCCAAGUGAGCGUAUGGAUUCUAGGCAGCUCCCAAGCUUGCUUAUAUCUCUUUGGUAAUCCAUGGUGGCAUAAUCAAGGUUCAGAACCAGCAGGCAUUGCAGCUUUUGAAGGAGGAGAAAACUGAAAACAUGAAGUAAAAGGCCUGCAUCGUCAUUCAUUUUAUUCAGUAUCAUGCUUACUUAUUGAUGCAACAAGGAUGCAAGGAAGAGUUUGUUGAAGGAGAGACAAGGACCUGGUUGUGACUGUGAUGUCCGCAAUGGGAGAGAAGCAGAUUUGUGCUAUGAAGGACAUUGGCCUUAAGUAGUUUAUUUAUAUAAAUUAUUGAAGGACUAUUGUUGCAAUUUUAGUUAAAGAUUUAUGUGAGCCUUUAUAGCUUGUUUUUCUUAAGACUGGGUAUAUUGGGUGGUUGAUGUGGAUCUGGAACAAAGUUCUAUUACCUUUUUCUCUUAUGGUAUGUUUGAUUUUUAA